UACAGAGGGUGCAAGCGUUGUUCGGAAUUAUUGGGCGUAAAGCGCGUGUAGGCGGCUUUGCAAGUCGGGUGUGAAAGCCCUCAGCUCAACUGAGGAAGUGCGCCCGAAACUGCAGAGCUUGAGUGCCGGAGAGGGUGGCGGAAUUCCCCAAGUAGAGGUGAAAUUCGUAGAUAUGGGGAGGAACACCGGUGGCGAAGGCGGCGCUCUGGGCCGGUACGUGACACUGAGGAGCGAAAGCGUGGGUAGCAAACAGG
rnacentral:rRNA from 1 species